ensembl:lncRNA
CUCUGACUCCGUUUGUGUCCCCCAGGUGGUGAUAGUCCGGGGGCCCUUAUCCUGAGGCCUACUGGGGCUCAGUGGGGGCCCGUGAUUGGCUUCUCCAACCAACAGGGAAGAGUUCUUCUGUGGUUCUGCUGUGUUCUGGAGGUCUCCUGGGAGCUGGUUCACAUGCCCUACUUAAAACACCCCAGCCACAGAUGCAACAUAGCAGCGUGUGAAAACCGCAUUCCAAUGUCCAUAUAUGGAGUCAAGGUCGCAACCAAUUCAACUGAGCGAUCCCUCCCGAAGUGGUACAGCCCAAGUCAGCCUUGUGCGAUCGCCACCGGCCCUCAAGCUCAGAUCCACCAAUAGUGCAAGAAUACGAUGUUCCAGUGUUUGCUAAAGGCAAGGAGGAGGAGGAGGAGGAGACACCAGGGAUGUGGUGUUGUCGUCCCUCCUCCAAGCUUGGGGGGAGAUGGGCCUCCCCGGGUCCCCAAGCUUGACGGACAUCCGUUCAGCCGUGGCCACAUACAACUUCGACUCAGAGAUUGGCAGGUGGGACCAUCGCAAUACGACCGCGGCAGCGACUACCAGUGCAUCGCCGAGAACAGCGCCGGCUCCGCGCAGGCCAGCGCCCGCCUCACCGUGCUGUGGGCCGACGGGCUCCCCGGGGCCCCCACAAUGGUGCGGGCCUAGGCGUUGUCGCCCGGCGCCAUCCAGGUGUCCUGGAAGGAACCGGAGC